UAAGUUGGCCCCUAAGGACUGCUUUGUGUGUCUGCCAUAGAGUUUCCACCCCUACCUCCUCGGUAUUAUUGAGAGAAUAAUAUGUCUCUAGGUCUGCUUUGAGUUGUGUGAUCAGAGUGUGGUCUGUCAAAAGAGUGUCAUUGAGACGCCAAUUUCUUCUGCCAACUACAGGGUGUUGCAUGGUGGUUGUCAGUAAGAUGGCGGCAUGAUCAGACCACGUAAUGUCUCCUAUAUAUACCUUUGUUAUUUGUAAUGUCUGUG